GUUUUUUUUGGCGUGGCAUCCACCAAUUGCCAGACAGAAAAAUUCCGGUUUCAUAUUUACAUACCUGGUACUUACUCGAGUUGUGUAUUACGUUUAACGAAAACGCACAAAGAGUUCGCCUCGUGGUUCAACAAGCUGCUGCACGCCUUAACAUUGACUUCCGUACUGGCUCAAAAUUGUAUCAGGUAUUCUUCGAACAACUUCAACUCUAUUUUGCACUUUUUCUUACAGAUCGUAUACGUUGUUUGCUCGCGUUAAAUACACAAUAAAGUUGUCAAUCGCGUUAAAUACACAAUAAAUGACCCCAAAAUCAAAAAUCCAGUGGAUUCAUCACGUCAUUCAUCUAUCCAUCGGUUUGCCAGGGUAAUGUUAAGAAAUUCUUUUGUAGAAAGAACAGUUUCUCUGAGAAACACUCUGAACAGUUUCUUUAGUCAUCCAUAACUUGAAGGUAUACAGGACGGUAUAUCCAUAUAUUCAUAUUUCGCAUGUUCAUAUUUUUUACUUAUAUUAAUAUAUAGAUUUACCUCUUGUGUGCAUGCAUUUGCAUGUAUGAAUAAAAGCUACGACUCCUAGAGAUACUGUCCUGGAGGUGUCUGGCGGCAGAGCAUAAGCAGUGUGCGAAGUUGUGGCAGUUGCCUGUCACGAUUCGAGGCACUUGAAAGUAUUUGGCGGUACCAGCAACGGAGUAUUUUUGUGCAUGAAAUUCUGUUCGAAAUCGGUUAACGUUAGCGGAGUACGUUGAAACGCCUAGAAACUAUGUAGUAUUGGUUUGAGAGGCAACGAUUAAGAAGGUAUGCGUUUAGUAUCGUAAAAGAAUGCUGUGUCCAAACGCAAAUAAUAUUUGGGUAAGCAUGGUUGCCAAGAGCGAGAAACAUGCUAGGUUGGCCAUGUUACCGGCAAUGUAUCGUCGUGAUGAUAUAAUGGCAGAUAGUCCACCGCUAUUUAGUCUUGUUCACAACUUAUAAUUGGGCCGAGCUCUCCAGUAAGGACCUCUAAUCCUCUAGUAAGGCAGAAUGCUUGAGCGAAUGUUCGAAAAGUUGAUAGCUCUGCGACUUACAGAGCUAUGCGAUGUCGAUGAUAUGACUGUUUAGUCAUAGCGCGAGAUAGUUUACCGAUGGUGACCGAUCCAACGUUGCGUUGUCAAAGAAUAGAAACUUUGUCUAAAGGAUCUGGCCACGUAGCGGAGAAGGCAGUGGGGCCUUUUUGUUAAGCGGACUUGGAUUACAAUUGAAUAUUGAAAUUUCUGAUACGUAUGGUAAUACUGAUUAUCGGAGAUGGUAUACGUACAAUCGUUCAUGAACCAUUGAUUUCAUAGUUUCCUCAAAUCCUCGAAUCAUUACAGGUGUCCAUGACCACGACUCGAUUUAUUUAAUUAUCAGUGUCAUUUUAAAUAGAUUUUUGUUUGAUGGAUCCACAUACAUCUUAUUAUCUAAUAUUAAAGGCGACGUAGAAACAAAUUAAACAAUGUCAUACAUUGCAAGCGAGUGAUUGUAGAUUAGACUUUUUCAUGAAUAAACAAUCUUUUAUAAUAUUUCUGAUAAAAUAUUUUUCCUUAUUUUCUAGUAAAUCAAACUUUGUUUCAUCAGAGAAGGUAUUUGUGCUAUUUGUUUUAUACGAUGCAUUCUGAUAUUUAAUAUUAAUCAAAAUUCCCUUUCGUCUAGUGUAAUAAAUUUUAUUAACGCUGUUUGUUCAGUCCCAAGAACUGACUGAUCAUUUAUCAUAUUAUGUAUUAACAGUUGCAUAUUAGACUUCUCCGCUGGUCAAAUUUUGUGUCCGUUUGUCUGAAGAUCUAAACAUUAAGGUCCUCAUAUGCACUAAGACUUACGGAAGACAGAUCGUUUGCAGUAAGGAUAGGAUCGUCAACAGCCCGUUCGUACGUCAGAAAUGAUGAUCUGCACAUACACCUUAAUACGAAAUGGGUGUACCAAUAUGCAAGAAAACGUGCGGUAGCACAUAAACUCGGACUACAAAACAAGCCAAAUCAACCGACUCAGAUCACAAAACUAAUCCAUUAAGACGACUGAAAGGAAUCGAACUUGCAGGACUCUGCACAAAACAAAAUCUAAACCUAAGAACUCUGAAGGGUUGUUGCUGAACAAUACAUCCUUAUUUAUAUUUAAUAUUUUACUAACAACUUUCGCUGCAGAAUUUUUGAACCGUUACAACAAUCAAACGAGACUAUCAUGAUCCCUCAAUACGGCAGACAAACUAGCAGGAAUACGAAGACUGAAAUUGUUGGUCGAAUCAUUUAUGGCACUUUUCGUGUCAAGCUGAAUUAAAAAUGAAAAAUCUAAACGACUCGAAAACUGAAGGAAAAGCUGAUACACAGCAGACUAAAAUACCGUCACUCUUCAAAUUGUACCUAUUGAUUUAUACUGAUUGUUCCAUGCAGUCAUGGAAAACGGGAUUGGAAUCAUUUUGCGACCAUUCACUUUCAUCACCGUCGAACUCAUCAGAAACUACACACACCAUCAUCGUCAGAAUCACUAAUUACUCAUCUCUGCACAUUUCGAAAUCGUCUUUCUAUGAUAUCACUUCCACUGUCCGACGAUUUAUUAUCACUGUUACUUAACGAUACUUAAUAUCAAAGUUACUAUAGUUAUAAUUAUCUAUGCCCGACAAUAGAUCUGCGUAUAUUUCCUCGUCAUUAUGAGAUGUUGUAUAGGGAAACAGUAUUAUCGAGACAGCAUAUAUUUUACAAUUAUAAAAUGUUUCGUGAAAUGAAAAUCAGCUGAUCUUAGUUAUUACGUUCGGGAAGCAGCGAACUGUUUUUAGCGAAUUUACCUAAAAUGAGUUAUGGAAAUAGCGCCACAUACGAGUAAUGCGGUUCGACGACAGAUAGCAGAGUAAAGUCACGACUACGUGACACCAGACGACAACCGCCAGCUGUCAUAGGUGAAUGGAGUAUUAUUAAUUGUUGGGUUUUAAUAGCACAGCGCACACAUUCGUACGAAGGAAAAGAAAAUUUAUAUUAUAUAUGAAAAGUAUAUAUUAUAGGUAAAUAAGAACUAUAAUCUAACUUUAACUCGUUAACUAUUGGACGUAUCAAAAAAACGAUUUAAACUACUUAUGUUACAUUCGGAGAAACUCAUUUGUUUUGCGCCAAUUUGUUUAUUUUGUUAUUGACGAAAGGUUGUACGUAGGUGUGGAUGUUGAUGUUUCUAAUUGGUGGAAAGUGUGCUAAUUUAAAUUACAUUGUAAUUUGUUUACAUUAUACUACAAUUUCGUAGUAAUUCAAUUAGCUGUAAUUACAAUAUCGUAAUGAUCCUCUCUAAGAGCAUUUUCUCAUCUUGAAGGUUCAUAAGGUCCUCGAACGUUUUCCAUUGUUUGAUGUUUAGGAUCAACCCUAUAAGCAACAUCUAUAUGUUUAUACAUAAAUAUCCAUAAUAUUUACCCUGAACGUUCGCGUGUGUCGUAUACGUUAAACGAUAAUGUCAUAAAUUAUUCUUUGACAACAGUACCGUACCUCAUAUUUGACAUCUUAGAUAACAAAGAGAAGUGAUAUUUCCUAAACAUUGGCGAAAUUGACCCUCAUUUUUUCGUCAAUAUAGUUCUCUCUCGCGUAUUGCACUUCUGUACAAAAGAUUCGAAUGAAAUUCAUUUUAUAUUAUGGUGACCCUCCCAUAGUGGCGAGCAGAGGGAUCACGGCAGAACAAUUUUCGCACAAGUCCUCGUCUAACCAUCCAAUUCUUACAAAUACAUCCUCUGACCCGGGAAUACUCCCAUUGUUCCCGUAUCUAAGGCACGAGCUAACUAAGAAAUCUUACUGAUGAAUCCAGCAAGCACCGGACUAUACGAAACUUCCCUUUCCUUCUUUUCCACUUUUUCUUCGUCUCUUUUAUUUCUUCUUUACAGAGCCAUAAUACGAUUCAUUCGCAUUCUUAUUCUUUCUAAAAGAUUCACCGCAAAGUUUAUUCUUAUUUGAUUUCAAUUUGCGAUUUGCGAAAGUUUACUAUUGUAAUUGUAGCGAUAUGACGUGGAUCUGUGGAUUGAUCUGUGGAUCUGUGGACGAUUGCAAGUGGAUCUGUGACGUAUUAUUGUAACUCUUUUUUGUAUGACAUUCUUUUAUAUAAUCAGAUAUGUAUUAUACAUUAUAUACUUAAUUACACUUAUUCACACACACACACGCACGCACGCACGCACGCA